AUUGAACGCUGGCGGCAGGCCUAACACAUUCAAGUCGAGCGAGCGGCGGACGGGUGAGUAAUAUAUGGGGGCUGUCCGAGAGAGGGGGAUAACUCCUGGAAACGGUGGCUAAUACCGCAUACUGUAGGAUAACCCCAAUGGGAUUAGCGGGUAGGUAAGGUAAUGGCUUACCUAGGCGACGAUCCCUAGCUGGUCUGAGAGGAUGAUCAGCCACAAUGGGACUGAGACACGGCCCAGACGCCUACGGAGGCAGCAGUGGGGAAUAUUGCACAAUGGGCGCAAGCCUGAUGCAGCCAUGCCGCGUGUAUGAAGAAGGCCCUAGGGUUGUAAAGUACUUUCAGUCGGGAGGCGUUACCGGCAGAAGAAGCACCGGCUAACUCCGUGCCAGCAGCCGCGGUAAUAC
rnacentral:rRNA from 1 species